rnacentral:rRNA from 1 species
CCCGAGGAAAAGAAAUCAACCGAGAUUCCCCCAGUAGCGGCGAGCGAACGGGGAGGAGCCCAGAGCCUGAAUCAGCAUGUGUGUUAGUGGAAGCGUCUGGAAAGGCGCGCGAUACAGGGUGACAGCCCCGUACACAAAAGCGCAUGUGCUGUGAGCUCGAUGAGUAGGGCGGGACACGUGGUAUCCUGUCUGAAUAUGGGGGGACCAUCCUCCAAGGCUAAAUACUCCUGACUGACCGAUAGUGAACCAGUACCGUGAGGGAAAGGCGAAAAGAACCCCGGCGAGGGGAGUGAAAAAGAACCUGAAACCGUGUACGUACAAGCAGUGGGAGCACAGGUUUACCUGUGUGACUGCGUACCUUUUGUAUAAUGGGUCAGCGACUUAUAUUCUGUAGCAAGGUUAACCGAAUAGGGGAGCCGGAGGGAAACCGAGUCUUAAUUGGGCGUUAAGUUGCAGGGUAUAGACCCGAAACCCGGUGAUCUAGCCAUGGGCAGGUUGAAGGUUGGGUAACACUAACUGGAGGACCGAACCGACUAAUGUUGAAAAAUUAGCGGAUGACCUGUGGCUGGGGGUGAAAGGCCAAUCAAACCGGGAGAUAGCUGGUUCUCCCCGAAAGCUAUUUAGGUAGCGCCUCGUGAAUUCAUCUCCGGGGGUAGAGCACUGUUUCGGCUAGGGGGCCAUCCCGGCUUACCAACCCGAUGCAAACUGCGAAUACCGGAGAAUGUUAUCACGGGAGACACACGGCGGGUGCUAACGUCCGUCGUGAAGAGGGAAACAACCCAGACCGCCAGCUAAGGUCCCAAAGUCAUGGUUAAGUGGGAAACGAUGUGGGAAGGCCCAGACAGCCAGGAUGUUGGCUUAGAAGCAGCCAUCAUUUAAAGAAAGCGUAAUAGCUCACUGGUCGAGUCGGCCUGCGCGGAAGAUGUAACGGGGCUAAACCAUGCACCGAAGCUGCGGCAGCGAACGUAUCACUUAAAGCGAUUCAGCGGGUUACGAUUGACGGAGCGAAGCGACGUCAAAGCGUAUACAAAGUCGAGUCGGUUUAAGGAUACGUUCGUUGGGUAGGGGAGCGUUCUGUAAGCCUGUGAAGGUGGCCUGUGAGGGUUGCUGGAGGUAUCAGAAGUGCGAAUGCUGACAUAAGUAACGAUAAAGCGGGUGAAAAGCCCGCUCGCCGGAAGACCAAGGGUUCCUGUCCAACGUUAAUCGGGGCAGGGUGAGUCGACCCCUAAGGCGAGGCCGAAAGGCGUAGUCGAUGGGAAACGGGUUAAUAUUCCCGUACUUGGUGUUACUGCGAAGGGGGGACGGAGAAGGCUAUGUUGGCCGGGCGACGGUUGUCCCGGUUUAAGCGUGUAGGUGUGUGUUCCAGGUAAAUCCGGUUCACUUUAACACUGAGGCGUGACGACGAGGCACUACGGUGCUGAAGCAACAAAUGCCCUGCUUCCAGGAAAAGCCUCUAAGCAUCAGGUAACAUCAAAUCGUACCCCAAACCGACACAGGUGGUCAGGUAGAGAAUACCAAGGCGCUUGAGAGAACUCGGGUGAAGGAACUAGGCAAAAUGGUGCCGUAACUUCGGGAGAAGGCACGCUGACAC